AUGUCCGGAAAGUUCGUGCCGAUUUUCGCUAGAUGGCAUUAGAACAGGUCUGAAUAUAUCAGAAUAAUUGAAAACAAAUGACAUAUGUACAUAUUCUAAAAGAUAAUAUUUCAUGCAUAUUUAGAAAAAAGUUUGGUUAGGAUACAUAAAUAUUUGCUAAUUUUAUACACUCUUACAUAUGAAAGAAAAUAAAAUGCAUCAUAGGCGUUUGAUGUUUUUCUUUUAUCGAAGAAAUAAAAAUGUCACACAAGCAACAAACAAGAUAUACGCUAUUUAUGGUAAUGUUGUUACAAUUUGAAGAACUGUGCAGAAAUAAUUUGCUAGAUUCAAAGUUGGCGAUCUCAAUCUUGAAGAUCAAGAAUACUCGAAUAGAUUCUCUAUUAGUGAUGAAGAUCAGAUCAAAACAUUGAUCGAGAAUAACCAACGCUAUACGAUAUGUAAAUUAGCAACAAAGAUCGUAUUUCCAUUUCUAACGGGGGAUAAAAAAUGAAUUAUUUAUAAUAAUAUUGAGUAGAAAAGAUCUUGAGGAAAGCAGAAUGAAUCAUUAUUUAAUCACUCCAAAAACUGAUCUUCAUAAAAAAAAAAAAAGAAAAAUCAUACUUUGUGUCUAGUUGGUUUGAAAAGAAAUCAUGUAUUAUAAGCUUCUAUCUAAUAAAUUAAUCAGAGAAUAAAUUCGGAAAUGUAUUGUUCGAUUAAUAAUUAUUGCAAUUAUACGAAUUAAAGACAACGAUUGAAAAAGAAAAAUAUUCAGAAGUAACAAAUCGAAAGGAUGUCGUGUCUCGUUAGGACAAUACGUGACGUCAUGUGUCCUUGAUUAGUUGACAAAAGCUGUUGGUUAGGAUUGGUUAGUUUGGUUAGGAUUUGCUAUUCACCACGUAUUGCACUCUUAGAUUUUCACUUUCAAGAGAAUUACAAAAUUCUCUUAAUAGUAAAAAUUUUAAUCUUUUGGUCGACAAAAAAUGUAUAAAAUAUUGAAUAAAUAAUAAAUAAAAAUCAAUAAUAUUGAAGUUUUGGAAAGAUGGAGAAAGAUGGAACGAACUUUCUAGAUAACCCUAAAAUAUCGAUCGCCAGUCUCACCAUUUGAAGAUCAAUAUUUUCAAAAGCCUGAUUUAUAUGUGUUAAUAUAUAUAAAAUUUCAUUUAUUAGUUAUAACCAAUAACGAUUCUACUUGUUAAAAUCGAAUAAAAAGCUGACUAAAUAAUUGUUAAA